rnacentral:rRNA from 1 species
AGUGAACGCUGGCGGUAGGCCUAACACAUGCAAGUCGAACGGCAGCACAGUAAGAGCUUGCUCUUACGGGUGGCGAGUGGCGGACGGGUGAGGAAUACAUCGGAAUCUACUUUUUCGUGGGGGAUAACGUAGGGAAACUUACGCUAAUACCGCAUACGACCUACGGGUGAAAGCAGUGGAUCUUCGGACCUUGCGCGAUUGAAUGAGCCGAUGUCGGAUUAGCUAGUUGGCGGGGUAAAGGCCCACCAAGGCGACGAUCCGUAGCUGGUCUGAGAGGAUGAUCAGCCACACUGGAACUGAGAAACGGUCCAGACUCCUACGGGAGGCAGCAGUGGGGAAUAUUGGACAAUGGGCGCAAGCCUGAUCCAGCCAUACCGCGUGGGUGAAGAAGGCCUUCGGGUUGUAAAGCCCUUUUGUUGGGAAAGAAAAGCAGCAGGUUAAUACCCCGCUGUUCUGACGGAACCCAAAGAAUAAGCACCGGCGAACUUCGU